AGAGUUUGAUCCUGGCUCAGGAUGAACGCUAGCGGGAGGCCUAACACAUGCAAGUCGAACGGGAUUGGGAGCUUGCUCCCAUGAGAGUGGCGCACGGGUGAGUAACGCGUAUGCAACCUGCCUUUAACAGAGGGAUAGCCCAUAGAAAUGUGGAUUAAUACCUCAUAGUUCUAUUAGAUCGCAUGAUUUGAAAAUUAAAACUCCGGUGGUUUGAGAUGGGCAUGCGUGACAUUAGCUAGUUGGUAAGGUAACGGCUUACCAAGGCGACGAUGUCUAGGGGUUCUGAGAGGAUUAUCCCCCACACUGGUACUGAGACACGGACCAGACUCCUACGGGAGGCAGCAGUGAGGAAUAUUGGUCAAUGGGCGAGAGCCUGAACCAGCCAUCCCGCGUGCAGGAUGACGGCCCUAUGGGUUGUAAACUGCUUUUAUAUAGGAAUAAAAAUCCGUACGUGUAGUAAGCUGACGGUACCGUACGAAUAAGGAUCGGCUAACUCCGUGCCAGCAGCCGCGGUAAUACGGAGGAUCCAAGUGUUAUCCGGAUUUAUUAGGUUUAAAGGGUGCGCAGGCGGGAAAAUAAGUCAGCGGUGAGAUCCUGUAGCUCAACUACAGAACUGCCGUUGAUACUGUUUUUCUUGAGUUCGGUUGAGGUAAGCGGAAUGUGUAGUGUAGCGGUGAAAUGCUUAGAUAUUACACAGAACACCAAUUGCGAAGGCAGCUUACUAAACCGUUACUGACGCUGAGGCACGAAAGCGUGGGGAGCGAACAGGAUUAGAUACCCUGGUAGUCCACGCCGUAAACGAUGAUUACUCGUUGUGCGCUAUAUACUGUGCGUGACUGAGCGAAAGCAUUAAGUAAUCCACCUGGGGAGUACGUCGGCAACGAUGAAACUCAAAGGAAUUGACGGGGGCCCGCACAAGCGGAGGAACAUGUGGUUUAAUUCGAUGAUACGCGAGGAACCUUACCCGGGCUUAAAUGGAGCGUGACCGUACCCGAAACCAGGCUUUCUUCGGACGGUUUGCAAGGUGAUGCAUGGUUGUCGUCAGCUCGUGCCGUAAGGUGUCGGGUUAAGUCCCAUAACGAGCGCAACCCCUAUUCUUAGUUGCCAGCGGGUCAUGCCGGGGACUCUAAGGAGACUGCCAGCGUAAGCUGUGAGGAAGGUGGGGAUGACGUCAAGUCAGCACGGCCCUUACGUCCAGGGCUACACACGUGUUACAAUGGCCGGUACAAAGGGCAGCUACCCCGCAAGGGGAUGCGAAUCCCUAAAGCCGGUCUCAGUUCGGAUUGAAGUCUGCAACUCGACUUCAUGAAGCUGGAAUCGCUAGUAAUCGCGCAUCAGCCAUGGCGCGGUGAAUACGUUCCCGGGCCUUGUACACACCGCCCGUCAAGCCAUGGAAGUUGGGAGUGCCUGAAGCCGGUGACCGAAAGGAGCUGUCUAGGGCAAAAUCAAUGACUGGGGCUAAGUCGUAACAAGGUAGCCGUAA
rnacentral:rRNA from 1 species